rnacentral:rRNA from 1 species
CGUCUAUAUACGUAUAGCAUAUCAAUAAGCGGAGGAAAAGAAACUAACAAGGAUUCCCUUAGUAACGGCGAGUGAAGCGGGAAGAGCUCAAAUUUGAAAUCUUCAAGGUUCUACCUUGACGAAUUGUAGUUUAAAGAAGUGUUUUCUGUUAGAGGAGUAGCAAAAGUUCCUUGGAAUGGGACAUCAUAGAGGGUGAGAAUCCCGUAUUUGGUUAUUCUUUCUAGCUUUGUGAUACACUUUCAAAGAGUCGGAUUGUUUGGGAAUGCAGUCCAAAAUGGGUGGUAAAUUUCAUCUAAAGCUAAAUAUUGGCGAGAGACCGAUAGCGAACAAGUACCGUGAGGGAAAGAUGAAAAGAACUUUGAAAAGAGAGUUAAACAGUACGUGAAAUUGUCAAAAGGGAAGCGUUUGACACCAGUGUUGUUUUUCCGAAAAUCAAUUAAGAGUGGCUUGAUUUUGUGUUGUAUUGACCUUAUCAGCUUUCUUCACUCUUUUUCGAGUCUUUCUUAAUGCACUUUUCGGUUAACAAGUCAACAUCAAUUUCUUUUGUUGUAAAAGGGUAUUUGGAAGGUGGCUUUCUUUUCGGAGAAAGUGUUUAUAGCCUUAUGACCUUCUGACAAUCGGAGAGAUUGAGGUCUGCAGCGUAGAUCCUUCGGGGCUAGAUACACUUGUGCUAAGUUAUAGCCUUUUCAUAGACAACUUGUUGACUAUGUUUAGUCAUGUAGCUUACCCGCUUGUGCUAUUUUACCUACGCUUAGGAUGUUGAGUCAUCACACAUCUCU